rnacentral:rRNA from 1 species
GACGAACGCUGGCGGCGUGCCUAAUACAUGCAAGUCGAACGAACCGCGACUAGGUGCUUGCACUUGGUCAAGGUGAGUGGCGAACGGGUUAGUAACACUUGGGUAACCUACCUCAUAGUGGGGGAUAACAGUCGGAAACGACUGCUAAUACCUCAUAGGACAUAGGAUCACAUGAUCCAGUGAGGAAAGGUGGCGCAAGCUAUCGCUAAGAGAUGGACCCGCGGUGCAUUAGCUAGUUGGUAGGGUAAAGGCCUACCAAGGCGAUGAUGCAUAGCCGACCUGAGAGGGUGAUCGGCCACAUUGGGACUGAGACACGGCCCAAACUCCUACGGGAGGCAGCAGUAGGGAAUCUUCCGAAAUGGACGCAAGUCUGAAGGAGCAACGCCGCGUGAGUGAAGAAGGUCUUCGGAUCGUAAAGCUCUGUUGUUAGAGAAGAACAGCGCAUAGAGUAACUGUUAUGCGUGUGACGGUAGCUAACCAGAAAGCCACGGCUAACUACGUG